AUUGAACGCUGGCGGCAGGCCUAACACAUGCAAGUCGAACGAGUGGCGGACGGGUGAGUAAUGUCUGGGAAACUGCCUGAUGGAGGGGGAUAACUACUGGACACGGUAGCUAAUACCGCAUACCCUCAGAUGUGCCCAGAUGGGAUUAGCUAGGUGGUGGGGUAAUGGCUCCCCCAGGCGACGCUCCCUAGCUGGGCUGAGAGGAUGACCAGCCACACUGGAACUGGGACACGGGCCAGACUCCUACGGGAGGCAGCAGUGGGGAAUAUUGCACAAUUGGCGGAAGCCUGAUGCAGCCAUGCCGCGUGUAUGAAGAAGGCCUUCGGGUUGUAAAGUACUUUCAGCGGGGAGGCGUUACCCGCAGAAGAAGCACCGGCUAACUCCGUGCCAGCAGCCGCGGUAAUAC
rnacentral:rRNA from 1 species